rnacentral:rRNA from 1 species
AACGUAGGACACAAGCGUUAUCCGGAGUUACUGGGCGUAAAGGGCGUGUAGGCGGACCUAUAAGUCUAUUCUGAAAGCUCCUGGCUAAACUGGGAGAGGCGAAUGGAGACUGUAGAUCUAGAGUGAGGAAGAGGAAAGUGGAAUUCCGCGUGUAGUGGUGAAAUGCGUAGAGAUGCGGAGGAACACCAGUGGCGAAAGCGACUUUCUGGUCCUUAACUGACGCUGAGGCGCGAAAAGCAUGGGGGAGCGAACGGGG